rnacentral:rRNA from 1 species
GCCUUAACCUGAGCCGAGUGCGAGUGCGAGUGCGAGCGCGAGCGCGACUCCUCCUCCUGCUACGGGAGGAAGAUAAUUUUGGUGCUCACCUUCAAAAGAAGGGGCAGUGGAGGGCGAAGCGCUUGGGUGGUGGGCAGCAGGCAAAGAAGCAAGAAGAGGAGGAGGAGGAGGAGGAAGAAUUGUAUUGUUACCGACACGUCCGGGUCAUGGGGAGGUUAGAGGAGAAGGUGCUAUCUCCACUGGGCCUCUCCUGCCUCUACCUGGACGGGUUCGUCGUCGUCGUCGUCGUUGUAGUCGUCGUAGGCGUCGUCGAGCGGCCUCAGAGCGGCCGCCAGAUAAAACGGUCACCGCCUCGGUCACCCUUAGCCUCCUUCGCGCGGUCCCUCCGGUACCGCGGCGGCGGCGGCCGGUUCCUCCUCAUGUAGUUGGACAAGCGCGUCGUCAGCCGCGGGAAAAAAUUGUACCGCGUCGAGGUGUUGUCGUCCCAGCGCAGCAGGGGCAGGGGACGGGGCCACUGCGCGCACAGGUGCCCGGAGGCGGACCGUAACCUACUCGUCGUUGUCUCUGUCUAAUUAAGUAACACAAUGGGCAGGAGCAGGAGCGGCGAGCAGGGGAAGAGGCUACUCAAGCGGCCUGUCUACUUCGUCGUACCGCUGCUCGAGCUGUUUAAGCAGGCCCUGGUCCCGCUCGUCGAGGCAGCCCGGUAGCGGCUAGCCUACGCGGUGGUGUUGGCCCGUGAAGACCACCGCCGUCUGUUUAGCCGGAGCGCGGCCGAUGCCCUCUUCCGCAACCUCCGCCUCGCGCUCCGCGCAGCGCCGCGGCUCGACCUCCUCGCCGAGCGCGCCGAAGCGUUGCUCCGCCGCCGCACCGUCCGCUUCCGUGAGAGCCUCGUCCGGUGGCGCCAGCCGGAAGUGCGCGUCGAGGUCGUCCGGCGGAGGCGCCGCGCCCGUAGGACGCUCCUCGACCGGCCGCCGCUGCGGCCGGGCCGGCUUAGCACGAGCAGACGCAUGCAUCUGGGAGCGGCGCGGCCCGGACUGGCGCGCACGGUGUCGACGGUGGAGCCCCGCCGGUGCCACCACGAGGACGGCACGUCUGUAGACUCGGAGACGGCGCUGACGAAGCGGCGGCCGCUGUACCUGCACCGGGACCGCACGGGCCAUACGGUAACGCACUCCUGGCCGUCGCACCUCCGGUAGGACACAACUGUCUCGACAGGAGCCCCGGUAGGGCCAGCAGGUAGGGCACGGCACUCACGAGGCUCGUUACGUUUUCCGCGGUAUCGAAUAAGGUUGCUUACCUCUUUUAUCAGGAUUUUACCUUUGAAUCUAAGAAAGAAAGAAGUUUGAAAACAAGUAUCAAAAAAAAUAGGAAAAAAUGACGGCUCCUAAAUGGGGAGCGGCACAGGAGAUCCUCUUAAGUUAACUAUAUUCAAGUAACAAUUAUGAUGGGUCGGGCAGUUCACGUUUCCACUUACGUACCAAUUUGCAAGAAAGAGGCUA